GGGGAUAUAGCUCAGUGGUAUAGCAUUUGACUGCAGUUCGAGAGGUCCCUGGUUCAAAUCCGGGUGUCCCCU
rnacentral:tRNA from 1 species